AUGUUGGUAUCCAUCGAAAGCGAAAGUGGUUUUGUGGUUGGUAGGAUUACUUGUCAGUUUCUUAGACGGUUCUGUCAAAGUAGGCAGCUGUUUACGUUUUGUAUAAUUAUUUUAUGUUUUGCUUAACUGUUAUACUCGAUUGUUUAUAGGUUCAUAUAUUUAUCGUUUUUAAGAUUAUAAAGUUACGAAUAUUUGUGAUAUUUGCGUUUAGACGAAUCAUGUCAGAUGUCAAGAAGUGAAUAAGCUGUGUUUUGUGUUGAAUGUGUGAGUGACAGUUAAAAUAUUGUUUGGGAUUUCGUACCAAAUAAUAAACAUAAACGUUUAUGCGGUGAUAUUUCAACGCGCACGUCCCAAGGGAAUGCGAUUUCUCUUGAACUUGUUCCGCGG
rnacentral:misc_RNA from 1 species